UACGUAGGGGGCGAGCGUUGUCCGGAUUUAUUGGGCGUAAAGAGCUCGUAGGCGGUUUGGUAAGUCGGGUGUGAAAUCUCCACGCUCAACGUGGAGGGGCCACUCGAUACUGCCAUGACUCGAGUCCGGUAGGGGAGUGUGGAAUUCCUGGUGGAGCGGUGAAAUGCGCAGAUAUCAGGAGGAACACCCGUAGCGAAGGCGGCACUCUGGGCCGAUUCUGACACUGAGGAGCGAAAGCGUGGGGAGCGAACAGG
rnacentral:rRNA from 1 species